rnacentral:lncRNA from 1 species
ACAGAGCCUCUUGCCUUGCAAGUCCUCAGUGUUAUCUUCCAUCACUGAUAUGAUCAGAAUAUCUGUAGCAAAAAUACAUCAGUUUCUUGAAUAGAGGAAUCUUGGCUUUUCUUUCUUUUUCCCCCCCCACCAGUUGUUAUUAUUGAAAUCUGCAUAAUGAAGACACUCAGAAAUUCUCCUCAAUAACCUAUAAGCAACCCCCUAACUACCUAGGAGUAAGGAGACAACGGAGUCCCAAAGGAGUCUGUCUCACCUACAAACUUAUGAGGGUCACAGAAAACACCCACAAACUUAUGAGGAUCACGGAAAACACCACUACCCCAACUUAGAGCCAAUCUAUUCAACCUGCAUUGUUAGCAGGUUUGAUUGUCAAGUUACUAUCCAAGAGCAGAAUUCUUCCUGGAGCCUCCUCACUAAAGAAGUUCUCUAUAUUUAUGGGUCAUUAAGACAAGGACACCAACUGAGAACUGGUACUAAUUGCUUGACCACAUAUUCCAAUGCAAAGUGGCAAUGCCGAUGGACCUCUGUAGAAAUGGAUUUUUUUAAAGUAACUUUCAGCAAAUAAAUAGUAUCGACUCUGUGACACUGACUGAGCUUAAAUUAUUCUCAAGCAUAAUUGAUGACAAACAGAGACACAGAGAUACUAUCUGAUUUUUUUCAGUGGACACACUGCUGGAUCUGUAUUAGGUCUAGGCACAUGCUUAGGGCUGU